ACGAGCGGCGAACGGGUGAGUAACACGUGGGUGAUCUGCCCUGCACUCUGGGAUAAGCUUGGGAAACUGGGUCUAAUACCGGAUAUGACUACAGCAUGCAUGUGUUGUGGUGGAAAGAUUUAUCGGUGCAGGAUGGGCCCGCGGCCUAUCAGCUUGUUGGUGGGGUAAUGGCCUACCAAGGCGACGACGGGUAGCCGACCUGAGAGGGUGACCGGCCACACUGGGACUGAGACACGGCCCAGACUCCUACGGGAGGCAGCAGUGGGGAAUAUUGCACAAUGGGCGGAAGCCUGAUGCAGCGACGCCGCGUGAGGGAUGAAGGCCUUCGGGUUGUAAACCUCUUUCAGCAGGGACGAAGCGUGAGUGACGGUACCUGCAGAAGAAGCACCGGCUAACUACGUGCCAGCAGCCGCGGUAAUACGUAGGGUGCGAGCGUUGUCCGGAAUUACUGGGCGUAAAGAGUUCGUAGGCGGUUUGUCGCGUCGUUUGUGAAAACCCGGGGCUCAACUUCGGGCUUGCAGGCGAUACGGGCAGACUUGAGUGUUUCAGGGGAGACUGGAAUUCCUGGUGUAGCGGUGAAAUGCGCAGAUAUCAGGAGGAACACCGGUGGCGAAGGCGGGUCUCUGGGAAACAACUGACGCUGAGGAACGAAAGCGUGGGUAGCAAACAGGAUUAGAUACCC
rnacentral:rRNA from 1 species